AAUCAACGCUGGCGGCGUGCCUCAGACAUGCAAGUCGAACGCGAAAGUCCCCUUCGGGGGACAAGUAGAGUGGCGCACGGGUGAGUAACACGUAGGUAAUCUACCUUCGGAUGGGGAAUAACAACCGGAAACGGUUGCUAAUACCGCAUAAUGCAGCGGCACCUAAUGGUGACAGUUGUUAAAGCGGGGGAUCGAAAGACCUCGCGUCUGAAGAGGAGCCUGCGGCGGAUUAGCUAGUGGUAAGGUAAUGGCUUACCAAGGCGACGAUCCGUAGCCGGCCUGAGAGGGCGGUCGGCCACACUGACACUGACAUACGGGUCAGACUCCUACGGGAGGCAGCAGUCGGGUAAUUUUGGGCAAUGGGCGAAAGCCUGACCCAGCAACGCCG
rnacentral:rRNA from 1 species